UACGUAGGGUCCGAGCGUUGUCCGGAAUUACUGGGCGUAAAGAGCUCGUAGGUGGUUUGUCGCGUUGUUCGUGAAAACUCACAGCUCAACUGUGGGCGUGCGGGCGAUACGGGCAGACUAGAGUACUGCAGGGGAGACUGGAAUUCCUGGUGUAGCGGUGAAAUGCGCAGAUAUCAGGAGGAACACCGGUGGCGAAGGCGGGUCUCUGGGCCGAUACUGACGCUGAGACGCGAAAGCGUGGGGAGCAAACAGG
rnacentral:rRNA from 1 species